UGAUAAUACGUUAAGCUGUGUAUCACGG
rnacentral:sRNA from 1 species